rnacentral:misc_RNA from 1 species
GAUGAAGAACGUAGCGAAAUGCGAUAAGUAAUGUGAAUUGCAGAAUUCAGUGAAUCAUCGAAUCUUUGAACGCACAUUGCGCCCGUCAGUAUUCUGGCGGGCAUGCCUGUUCGAGCGUCAUUACGCCCCUCAAGUCCCCUGUGGACUUGGUGUUGGGGAUCGGCGAGGCUGGUUUUCCAGCACAGCCGUCCCUUAAAUUAAUUGGCGGUCUCGCCGUGGCCCUCCUCUGCGCAGUAGUAAAACACUCGCAACAAGAGCCCGGCGCGGUCCACUGCCGUAAAACCCCCCAACUUUUUAUAGUUGACCUCGAAUCAGGUAGGACUACCCGCUGAACUUAAGCAUAUCAAUAAGCGGAGGA